CUUUUUGGUUUAUCCAGCAGGAGUAAAGCCUACCUCGGAAAUCUGAGGGUGGCCGCGAACCCAAAAGUCCAGAUUCGCAGGUGCGCGCGCUAAGGACUGAGCUAUUGGGGCGAUGGAAAGAGUCUCUCUCUGCGCCAAGGGCGGAAGGACAUGUUUAAAAAAAAAAAAAAAAAAAAAAAAAAAAAAAAAAUUAAUAGAUGGGAAGUAGAAAAAAUUAAAGCGCGGUUCGUUGGUCUAGGGGUAUGAUUCCCGCUUUGGGUGCGAGAGGUCCCUGGUUCAAAUCCCAGACGAGCCCUUUUUCCUUCUCUUUUUUCCCCUUUCGCAUUUUCAGCAAGGACGGGAGACUAGGAAGGCGAAGGGAGGCUGCUGUUGGCAGAGCCUCAGUGGGGACCUCCCGGGGUCCCGGGACGCAGACGGACGGGCCUGAAUCGCUCGCCUUGCAGUCGGUCCGUCACCCUGAAAUGGGAUCCAGCGCUGCCAACUGCGGGUUCGAGAGUAUGGCUGCUCCAGUCCCAGUGUGUCCUGGCGGGGUGGGGGUCUCGGCUCCGGUCUCCACGCCCAGACCCCGAGGCCUUCCCACUGAGAGCCAGGAAAUUCGAGGCUUGGAUCCGGAGGGGAGGAGGAGAUCCUUUCAGUCCAGAUCUGCCGGAUUCUCGGGCUCCGGGUGA
rnacentral:lncRNA from 1 species